AAAAUGUAUGAUUUUGUUGAUAAUCUGAAGAAGAAAGAGAGACAGUGGAAAGAGAUGGUGGAGUAGAAGAUGUGGUGAUAAUGAUGAUAAUGAUGGAUUAGAAGAUGUGGCUAAGAGUUUUUUAUAUAUUUUUUUAACUAUUUUUGUUAGUAGGUUUCACUGGUUGGUUGAGAAUGGUAAUAGACGUGGCGGUGAUAAUGAUGGAUUAGAAGAUGUGGCUAAGAGUUUUUUAUAUAUUUUUUUAACUAUUUUUGUUAGUAGGUUUCACUGGUUGGUUGAGAAUGGUAAUAUGGCAAUAAUCUAUAAUGUGUACC
rnacentral:lncRNA from 1 species